CUUAUGUACCAGGAACUAUAUUAGGCACCCUACAUGCAAGGUCUCAUUUAACAGCGGUGCGAGGUAAACACUGUUUCUCCGGAUCACAAAGGAGAAACCUGAAGGCAGGAGAGGUUAAGGAGGUUGCUUGGGGUCACAGGUAGUAAGUGGCAAAGAUUUCAUGCAAACCCAGCGCCUUUGGAUUCUGAAGCCCGUGCUCUUGCCAGGGCCCCACAGUGUCCUCACAAACUCCACUGCAGAGGGCAAAACACCAGCCGCACCUCAUCUCUGUCCUCACCCAGGUGUUUCUCCAGAGGAGCCCACAGGCCUCUUGAGUCCAGACAGGGGAGAAUUGCUUGUCACCAUUACUUUCUCUUUUGCCUAACGGCUUCUGCUGCCUUGAGAGGGUUACGCAGUGGCUCUCCAGGGGGCUGGAGGCUCACCAGGGGCACGUGUGCCUGAGCCAGCCUCGCUGUCCCUGCAGUGAUCAUGUCCGACGAGGCCGUGGAGGAGAGGCGGGCCUUGAUCAAGCGGAAGAAAAGUGAACGGACAGGGAUUCAGCCACUGGGAGUGCAGGGGCUGACAGAGGAGCAGCGGAUGAUGAUCAGGGAGCUGAUGGACGCUCAGAUGAAAACCUUUGACACUACCUUCUCCCAUUUCAAGAAUUUCCGGCUGCCAGGGGUGCUUAGCAGUGGCUGCGAGUUGCCAGAGUCUCUGCAGGCCCCAUCGAGGGAAGAAGCUGCCAAGUGGAGCCAGGUCAGGAAAGAUCUGUGCUCUUUGAAGGUCUCUCUGCAGCUGCGGGGGGAGGAUGGCAGUGUCUGGAACUACAAACCCCCAGCCGACAAUGGCGGGAAAGAGAUCUUCUCCCUGCUGCCCCACAUGGCUGACAUGUCAACCUACAUGUUCAAAGGCAUCAUCAACUUUGCCAAAGUCAUCUCCUACUUCAGGGACUUGCCCAUCGAGGACCAGAUCGCCCUGCUGAAGGGGGCCGCUUUCGAGCUGUGUCAACUGAGAUUCAACACAGUGUUCAACGCGGAGACUGGAACCUGGGAGUGUGGCCGGCUGUCCUACUGCUUGGAAGACACUGCAGGUGGCUUCCAGCAACUUCUACUGGAGCCCAUGCUGAAAUUCCACUACAUGCUGAAGAAGCUGCAGCUGCAUGAGGAGGAGUAUGUGCUGAUGCAGGCCAUCUCCCUCUUCUCCCCAGACCGCCCAGGUGUGGUGCAGCACCGCGUGGUGGACCAGCUGCAGGAGAAAUUCGCCAUUACUCUGAAGUCCUACAUUGAAUGCAAUCGGCCCCAGCCUGCUCAUAGGUUCUUGUUCCUGAAGAUCAUGGCUAUGCUCACCGAGCUCCGCAGCAUCAAUGCUCAGCACACCCAGCGGCUGCUGCGCAUCCAGGACAUACACCCCUUUGCUACGCCCCUCAUGCAGGAGUUGUUCGGCAUCACAGGUAGCUGAGCGGCUGCCCUUGGGUGAUACCUCCGAGAGGCAGCCAGACCCAGAGCCCUCUGAGCCGCCACUCCCGGGCCAAGACAGAUGGACACUGCCAAGAGCCGACAAUGCCCUGCUGGCCUGUCUCCCUAGGGAAUUCCUGCUAUGACAGCUGGCUAGCAUUCCUCAGGAAGGACAUGGGUGCCCCCCACCCCCAGUUCAGUCUGUAGGGAGUGAAGCCACAGACUCUUAUGUGGAGAGUGCACUGACCUGUAGGUCAGGACCAUCAGAGAGGCAAGGUUGCCCUUUCCUUUUAAAAGGCCCUGUGAUCUGGGGAGAAAUCCCUCAGAUCCCACUAAAGUGUCAAGGUGUGGAAGGGACCAAGAGACCAAGGCUGGGCCAUCUGGGGUCUAUGCCCACAUACCCACGUUCGUUCGCUUCCUGAGUCUUUUCAUUGCUACCUCUAAUAGUCCUGUCUCCCACUUCCCACUCGUUCCCCUCCUCUUCCGAGCUGCUUUGUGGGCUCCAGGCCUGUACUCAUCGGCAGGCGCAUGAGUAGCUGUGGGAGUCCUCUAGAGAGAUGAGAAGCCAGGAGGCCUGCACCAAAUGUCAGAAGCUUGGCAUGACCUCAUUCCGGCCACAUCAUUCUGUGUCUCUGCAUCCAUUUGAACACAUUAUUAAGCACUGAUAAUAGGUAGCCUGCUGUGGGGUAUACAGCAUUGACUCAGAUAUAGAUCCUGAGUUCACAGAGUUUAUAGUUAAAAAAACAAACAGAAACACAAACAAUUUGGAUCAAAAGGAGAAAUGAUAAGUGACAAAAGCAGCACAAGGAAUUUCCCUGUGUGGAUGCUGAGCUGUGAUGGCGGGCACUGGGUACCCAAGUGAAGGUUCCCGAGGACAUGAGUCUGUGGGAGCAAGGGCACAAACUGCAGCUGUGAGUGCGUGUGUGUGAUUUGGUGUAGGUAGGUCUGUUUGCCACUUGAUGGGGCUUGGGUUUGUUCCUGGGGCUGGAAUGCUGGGUAUGCUCUGUGACAAGUCUACGCUGACAAUCAGUUAAACACACCGGAGAAGAACCAUUUACAUGCACCUUAUAUUUCUGUGUACACAUCUAUUCUCAAAGCUAAAGGGUAUGAAAGUGCCUGCCUUGUUUAUAGCCACUUGUGAGUAAAAAUUUUUUUGCAUUUUCACAAAUUAUACUUUAUAUAAGGCAUUCCACACCUAAGAACUAGUUUUGGGAAAUGUAGCCCUGGGUUUAAUGUCAAAUCAAGGCAAAAGGAAUUAAAUAAUGUACUUUUGGCU
rnacentral:sRNA from 1 species